GUCUCACAGUUAGCGCAUGAAAUGUUUUUGGAUGCUUCACUUUCAUUGUUUUAAAGUUUCUAAAGGCAGCUUUUGGACCUGUGGAAUAUCUAUCUCUGUCCAUCACCUUGCUGCUCUUGGCUAUUUUCUUCAAAACCUGGGAAACAGCAGGUUAGAGAAUAAUGGGAGCUGAGCAUUUACCUGGCAGAGAUUGUUUCCCUUCCUACCUGCUCCGAUGUCUGAGCUGCCUGGGGCACCUAGAGCAGAGAUGAAAAUAAAGGCUAACUGCCCUCAUUUCUUC
rnacentral:lncRNA from 1 species